rnacentral:rRNA from 1 species
UACAGGGGGUGCAAACAUUGCUCGGAAUCAUUGGGCGUAAAGCGCACGUAGGCGGUCUGUUAUGUCGGAUGUGAAAGCCCUUGGCUCAACUGAGGAAGUGCAUCCGAAACUGGCAGGCUAGAGUACUAAAGAGGGUCGCGGAAUUCCCGGUGUAGAGGUGAAAUUCGUAGAUAUCGGGAGGAACACCGGUGGCGAAGGCGGCGACCUGGGUAGAUACUGACGCUGAGGUGCGAAAGCGUGGGGAGCAAACAGG